GCCUGAGCCAGCACUAGCAACCCUCUGCCAUCCUCUUCUUCAAUGUGGAAGGUUUGUUCUUUUGUUCUUUGUGAUAAAUCUUGCUGUUGCUCACUCUUUGGGUCCACACUGAGUUUAUGAGCUGUAACACUUAUGAGCCAGCGAGACCACGAACCCACCAGAAGGAAGAAACUGCGAACACAUUGGAACAUCAGAAGGAACAAACUCUGGACAUCCUGCUUUUAGGAACUGUAACACUCACUGCGAGAGUCUGCGGCUUCAUUCUUUUAGUCAGUGAGACCAAGAACCCACCAAUUCCGGACAGGGCAUCUACCUAGAAGUCAGCAGCUCAGUGGAGUCUUUCCUGGUAACCCGACCUAAAAUCCCCAAACUGCCAAGAAUUGGUGUACAAAUAUCACGGACAGUGGGAAAAACAAUGAAUGCUGCCUGCUUAAGUCACAAGGCUCUUUAUUCUGAUAUCCCACUGCUCAUUCCAAAUCCCAAGAUCCUGAGGAACUGUCAUUGAUCGACUCAGAGAUAAGCUAUCCAACUUUGAUCUAAUUAAGGAUGUUCAGAGUCUAUUUCAUGUUUUGCAUAAUGAUUACCAGGGUCACCAGUGCUGAUAAGGAGGAAUGCAAGUAGACAUUGAGAUGGGCUUAAUGUAGUUUUUCAGAUUUGAACCUUCUAAAAAGAUUAUCUGGAUUAGAAUCUGGGCUCUGCUUUGAAGCUGUAGGAAUUUGGACCAUUUAACUUUUGUAUGCCUUAGUUUCCUAAUUUAUGAAAAAUAAUAAUCAUAGCCCAAACUUUAUGAAAAUAUUGUGGAAAAUUAAGUUAAUCAUGGCAGAAGUUUGUAAAACAUCGGCAUACAGUGGGCACUCUGUAAAUAGUGGCUGAUGUACUAUUAUCAUUAUAGACCAGGACAAGUUAUUUAAAUAUUAACUUCUGUGUUUUUUUUUUUUUUUUACUUUCUGUCUAUAUUUUUUAUUCUGAUUUACUUCCAUAAGCCAAGUAUCUGUAUUCCCUUUGUGUAACAGGCAUAAAUGCAGAAGUUAUUUUCACAAAACUUGCAUUAUUGGCUUGGGCUUGAAGGGAUUAGUAGACAUGAAGAGACAAGUAUGUUCAAAGACAGGAUGGAGACAAAGACUCCCUAAGUUGGAGAAACAUUAAAGAAAGGGAAGAUUCUAUUUCUGCUGCACACAGAUACUGUUUUCUCAUCCAAGUGGACACAAAAAAUAAUACUUGUUUAAUGAGUCCUGCCAUUGCAAAGACUUUUGUCAUAUGAUUUUUAAAUUUUUUAUAACUAGCAUCUGCCUAGUAAAACUUUUAAAACACUACUUAAAUGAUUUUAAAAUAAUUAUUCUUUACCUGAGAUGCACUUCUAGGUUUUUUUGUUAAAUAAUAUGAAUAAAGCUAAUCUUACAAUCUCAGCAUUUAGAGAUUAGCCAUCAUAAUUUAAAAUAUCCUUUCAGUCACUCUUCUAUUAACAUGUACUACUUAAUCUUACAAUUGAAAUCAUACUUACUUUUUUGAUAUUAAAUACAUGUAUGGAAGUUAUUGUUUUAUAGCAUGAUUUUUAAUGACUGAAUAGUAAACCAUUAUAUAAGUGUGUCAUAAUUUAUGUAACAUCUAUUGUUGCUAGUCAAGUGAUUCUAAUAUUCAUUAUUAGUUUGUUGUGCUAUUUUAAUAUUGAUGAGCAUUAAUCUUUUUCAAUAUUUUUCUUUUUAGUUUAAAUUCUUACUAGUGGGUUUGCUGAAUCAAAAGAUAUUUUAAAAUUUAUUCCUAAACUCACUUCAUUAUAUUUUUGCCUCUGCUAGUUUCAUCUGUGCUUAUAACCAUUUGUCAUUAUCAUUCUGUUUCAAUUACAGUUAAAAAGUGAAUUUUUAAAUUCAAUUCUUAAAAUUUAUACAUUAAUUUCUUUUUUCAUUUCCUUGUUACUUAGAUCUUUUACUUUGUUAGAUAUCUUUUGAAGUAUAAUAUUAAGUUCCCAAAUUUCUUAUGUAAUUUGUUAUUAUAUCUGAAAUUUAGGUUCUUAAAGAGAAAAUUGUCAUAUGCAUAGUGGUAAGUUUUCUAUUCAGGAAUAUGCUAUUUUUUCUAAGACUUUUAAAAUAUCUUUCAAUAGUAGUUUUUUUUUCUUGCAUAUAUAUCGUGGAUGUUUCUGGAGAAUUUAGUUUUUAGAUUAUUUUCAGGUUUAUUGUAUGUUCAAAUGCUUAUCUUAUGCUGAGAAACAAUUGGUUUUGCAUUUUUAAAAUAUAAAUAUAGUAUUUACAUAUGUAGUAAAUUACCUUCUUACUGCAUAGAUAUUUUGUUCAGUUGAUCAUUUUCAGUUUCCAAAGUAUCCUAACAUGCUGUAAUACAUGACAAUAAAUUUGUCUUUGCCUCUUUCUUACCUUUGUGUUGUUUGUUUGUUU
rnacentral:lncRNA from 10 species